GGGUUGUGAGGUUAAGUGACUAAGCGUACACGGUGGAUGCCUAGGCAGUCAGAGGCGAUGAAGGGCGUGCUAAUCUGCGAAAAGCGUCGGUAAGGUGAUAUGAACCGUUAUAACCGGCGAUACCCGAAUGGGGAAACCCAGUGUGUUUCGACACACUAUCAUGUCAUGAAUACAUAGUGGCAUGAGGCGAACCGGGGGAACUGAAACAUCUAAGUACCCCGAGGAAAAGAAAUCAACCGAGAUUCCCCCAGUAGCGGCGAGCGAACGGGGAGGAGCCCAGAACCUGAAUCGGCUUGUGUGUUAGUGGAAGCGUCUGGAAAGUCGCGCAGCAAAGGGUGAUAGCCCCGUACACUAAAAUGCACAGGUCGUGAGUUCGAUGAGUAGGGCGGGACACGUGACAUCCUGUCUGAAUAUGGGGGGACCAUCCUCCAAGGCUAAAUACUCCUGACUGACCGAUAGUGAACCAGUACCGUGAGGGAAAGGCGAAAAGAACCCCGGCGAGGGGAGUGAAAUAGAACCUGAAACCGUGUACGUACAAGCAGUGGGAGCACCUUCGUGGUGUGACUGCGUACCUUUUGUAUAAUGGGUCAGCGACUUAUAUUUUGUAGCAAGGUUAACCGUAUAGGGGAGCCGUAGGGAAACCGAGUCUUAACUGGGCGAUUAGUUGCAAGGUAUAGACCCGAAACCCGGUGAUCUAGCCAUGGGCAGGUUGAAGGUUGGGUAACACUAACUGGAGGACCGAACCGACUAAUGUUGAAAAAUUAGCGGAUGACUUGUGGCUGGGGGUGAAAGGCCAAUCAAACCGGGAGAUAGCUGGUUCUCCCCGAAAGCUAUUUAGGUAGCGCCUCGUGAACUCAUCUUCGGGGGUAGAGCACUGUUUCGGCUAGGGGGCCAUCCCGGCUUACCAAACCGAUGCAAACUCCGAAUACCGAAGAAUGUUAUCACGGGAGACACACGGCGGGUGCUAACGUCCGUCGUGAAGAGGGAAACAACCCAGACCGCCAGCUAAGGUCCCAAAGUCAUGGUUAAGUGGGAAACGAUGUGGGAAGGCACAGACAGCCAGGAUGUUGGCUUAGAAGCAGCCAUCAUUUAAAGAAAGCGUAAUAGCUCACUGGUCGAGUCGGCCUGCGCGGAAGAUGUAACGGGGCUAAACCAUGCACCGAAGCUGCGGCAGCGACGCUUAGGCGUUGUUGGGUAGGGGAGCGUUCUGUAAGCCGUUGAAGGUGGCCUGUGAGGGUUGCUGGAGGUAUCAGAAGUGCGAAUGCUGACAUAAGUAACGAUAAAGCGGGUGAAAAGCCCGCUCGCCGGAAGACCAAGGGUUCCUGUCCAACGUUAAUCGGGGCAGGGUGAGUCGACCCCUAAGGCGAGGCUGAAAAGCGUAGUCGAUGGGAAACAGGUUAAUAUUCCUGUACUUGGUGUUACUGCGAAGGGGGGACGGAGAAGGCUAGGCUGGCCGGGCGACGGUUGUCCCGGUUUAAGCGUGUAGGGGGUGUGACCUGGUAAAUCCGGUUGCAUAUCAACCCUGAGGCGUGAUGACGAUGCACUACGGUGCAGAAGUAGUUGAUGCCCUGCUUCCAGGAAAAUCCUCUAAGCUCCAGGUAACAUUAAAUCGUACCCCAAACCGACACAGGUGGUCAGGUAGAGAAUACCAAGGCGCUUGAGAGAACUCGGGUGAAGGAACUAGGCAAAAUGGUGCCGUAACUUCGGGAGAAGGCACGCUGGCAUGUAGGUGAAGUCCCU
rnacentral:rRNA from 1 species